GACGAACGCUGGCGGCGUGCUUAACACAUGCAAGUCGAACGGAAAGGCCUGCUUUCCCUUGUGGAUUGCGGGUACUCGAGUGGCGAACGGGUGAGUAACACGUGAGUGAUCUGCCCCCAACUUGGGUAUAAGCCUGGGAAACUGGGUCUAAUUCCCGAUAGGACUGCAGGGUGGUGCCUGUGGUGGAAAACGAUUUUCUAGUGGUUGGGGAUGAGCUCGCGGCCUAUCAGCUUGUUGGUGGGGUAAUGGCCUACCAAGGCGGCGACGGGUAGCCGGCCUGAGAGGGUGGACGGCCACAUUGGGACUGAGAUACGGCCCAGACUCCUACGGGAGGCAGCAGUGGGGAAUAUUGCACAAUGGGCGGAAGCCUGAUGCAGCGACGCCGCGUGGGGGAUGACGGCCUUCGGGUGGUAAACUCCUUUCGACCGCGAGGAAGCCACCUGGUUGGAAGGGUGGUGACGGUAGUGGUGGAAGAAGCACCGGCUAACUACGUG
rnacentral:rRNA from 1 species